AGUGAACGCUGGCGGUAGGCCUAACACAUGCAAGUCGAACGGCAGCACAGUAAGAGCUUGCUCUUACGGGUGGCGAGUGGCGGACGGGUGAGGAAUACAUCGGAAUCUACUUUUUCGUGGGGGAUAACGUAGGGAAACUUACGCUAAUACCGCAUACGACCUACGGGUGAAAGCAGGGGAUCUUCGGACCUUGCGCGAUUGAAUGAGCCGAUGUCGGAUUAGCUAGUUGGCGGGGUAAAGGCCCACCAAGGCGACGAUCCGUAGCUGGUCUGAGUGGAUGAUCGGCCACACGGGAACUGAGACACGGUCCAGACUCCUACGGGAGGCAGCAGUGGGGAAUAUUGGACAAUGGGCGCAAGCCUGAUCCAGCCAUACCGCGUGGGUGAAGAAGGCGUUCGGGUUGUAAAGCCCGUUUGUUGGGAAAGAAAAGCAGCAGGUUAAUACGCCGCUGUUCUGACGGUACCCGAAGAAUAAGCACCGGCUAACUUCGUG
rnacentral:rRNA from 1 species